AGUGAACGCUGGCGGUAGGCCUAACACAUGCAAGUCGAACGGCAGCACAGAGGAGCUUGCUCCUUGGGUGGCGAGUGGCGGACGGGUGAGGAAUACAUCGGAAUCUACUCUGUCGUGGGGGAUAACGUAGGGAAACUUACGCUAAUACCGCAUACGACCUACGGGUGAAAGCAGGGGAUCUUCGGACCUUGCGCGAUUGAAUGAGCCGAUGUCGGAUUAGCUAGUUGGCGGGGUAAAGGCCCACCAAGGCGACGAUCCGUAGCUGGUCUGAGAGGAUGAUCAGCCACACUGGAACUGCGACACGGUCCAGACUCCUACGGGAGGCAGCAGUGGGGAAUAUUGGACAAUGGGCGCAAGCCUGAUCCAGCCAUACCGCGUGGGUGAAGGCCUUCGGGUUGUAAAGCCCUUUUGUUGGGAAAGAAAUCCAUCUGGUUAAUACCCGGGUGGGAUGACGGUACCCAAAGAAUAAGCACCGGCUAACUUCGUGCCAGCCGCCGCAGUAA
rnacentral:rRNA from 1 species